rnacentral:rRNA from 1 species
UACGAAGGGGGCUAGCGUUGUUCGGAAUUACUGGGCGUAAAGGGCGCGUAGGCGGUGUGUCAAGUCAGGCGUGAAAGCCCCGGGCUCAACCUGGGAACCGCGCUUGAGACUGGCACGCUCGAGUUCGGGAGAGGAUGGUGGAAUUCCCAGUGUAGAGGAGAAAUUCGUAGAUUAUUGGGAAGAACACCGAUGGCGAAGGCAGCCAUCUGGACCGACACUGACGCUGAGACGCGAAAGCGUGGGGAGCGAACAGG